rnacentral:lncRNA from 1 species
GUUCUCUCCCAUACUUCAAACGAUUCAAAGCCAUCUUAUAAUGCCUGAAUGAGAAACUAAUGAAAGAAAGAAAGAUUGACACACGGCAUGGAAUAGAGAAAGAGUGACAUCCUUCUAAGAGAGAGAAAGAGAGCCCCUCGUCCACGCCAUGGCUAUGGACGUCUUGCCCUUUGUCACAAACCUUAAUCGUACUCCAUAGCUUCUUAUUGGAGCUCCAUAUCAUCUUCAAUUCAUCUUUAUGUUGCUGUAACCUGCUACGAAUCCUCAUUUCCAGCAAGAUGUUUACUCUCUCGUGGUGCUACGAAUUAGUCUCCAAAGUAUUCCAAAGUGUGCCAAUAGUAUGCAUUUAAAACUUAUUUUGCGCUUGCCAUUGGAGCGUGAUAGGGCUCGGAUCCCUUUUAAUAUUAGUGGAAAAGCUGGUGUACGGUGUACGAAAUCCUAUGGAUGUAAUUCCAGGCAAAUUGCUUGAGUUUUGGCUUCUUAUGUCUUGCGACUUCCAUGCACAUAUUUGUAAAAAUGUUUGCAUUUAAUGAUAUUGCAUUUUAAUUGAAUAAUUGUACGAG